rnacentral:lncRNA from 1 species
AAAUUUGGAAUUUAGUGAAGGAUGCUGGCUGGUUUGCGUUUUGCUGUCAGCAGACCUCGAACUAUCUAAUUCAGGUGUGGGUCUAGGAGAAUAAGGAGCUCGGUUCUUGUUCCUGUUCUGCCAUGGCUCUGUGUCACUAGGGUCAAACGAGCCUUUCUGGGCCCCCUUUCUUCCUGUGCAAGACACAAGACCCAUUUGUGAGGCUAUAGGUCUUUGAUUGUGUGAUUGUGUUUGAUUGUCACUCUCUGUCCCUGCAGCCAGUCACAGCACCAGCCAGCUCUCCCAGAAACUGAAGACCACUUACAAGGCUUCCACCAGCAAGGUAUGCAGGCCACUGGCUCUUGAGCCAUCAUGUGGUGGUUAAGGUGUGCAGAUGUGUACUUUAAGUUGUUUAUUUUCCAAUUAGAAAGGCAUAGCAGAAAAAGAUAAAUGGUUUUAAGGGAAAUUUAGUUUUUUAAAGGAAUGUCCUGGCUGGGCAUGGUGGCUCAUGCUUGUAAUCCCAGCACUUUGGGAGGCUGAGGUGGAUGGAUCACUUGAGGUCAGGAGUUUGAGACCAGCUUGGACAACAUGGUGAAACCCUGUCUCUACUAAAAAUACAAAAAUUAGCUGGGUGUGGUGGCGGGUGCCUGUAAUCCCAGCUACUUGAGAGGCUGAGGCAUGAGAAUUGCUUAAGCCUGGGAGGUGGAGGUUGCAGUGAGCCGAGCUUACACCACCGCACUCUAGCCUGGGCAACAGAGCGAGAUUCCGACUCCAAAAAAAAAAAAAAGAAUGUCACUAUGCAGGCAUUUACAUAGUAGCUUACCCUAGUACCUACAGGGAUUAAUAUAUGAUGUAUUAGUAAAUAUAUUGUCUUUAGAGGGAAUAUAUAAUUUCUCUUGUUAAUUGGCUUAAUAUAAAGGGUCUGAAUUUGGAGGAAGCUAAUAAAUAGGUACAAAUUAGUGAAAAUUAUGUUCUGAGCUAAAGUUACAUUUUAGUUCAUUAUGUUCUUUUCCUCAGUUUCCUAAGUGUGAUCAGGAAGUGAAGGUCUGUCUCUAAGGCAAAUAGGGAUGUUCAUGGUUUUUGUAUUUUCUUAAAGUAUCUCGUGCUGACCUUCUUAAAGUGGAAAGGGUUUAAUUGUUUGGGAAUUCAUUUGUCUGUGAUGGAUUACUAUCAAGUGAUAUUUUGAGGUAAUUUUGUAUGCAUCUGUACUUUGGCAUAUUUCAAGGAUACAAAGAUAAAUUGAAAUUUUCAGUGAUCUUGCUAUGAUGGUGUAAGUAGUUCUUGUUAGCUUUUUAUUUUUCCAAUUUGUUUCCUUGAGUUUAAAGUUAAUUUAGCAUGACAUCUAUAGUAAGAUUAACUGCAAUUAAUAGAGCAAAUUUAGUCCUUCUGCCGUUUGUCCUCACUUGAUAGUCUUUGGUAAUUCUUUGUUAUUCAAAAGAAAAUCUGAAAUUGUUGGUAUUUUCUACUGUACUUUCCUUCGAUAACAUCUAGAAUGUAAGUUGCUAAUUUAUUUGAUUUUUUUUUUGGCCAUGUAAUGUCUAGCUUAUACUUACAAGUUUUGAACUUUUUAAUAAAUUAACUUGAAGCUUUUUCUUCAUAAUGAAGUGUGAAAUUAUGUUCUUCCUCAUUUAAUUUCUUUUUACAUUAUCUUGGAUUAUGUUGUUUUUUCUGGUGUGUACAGUUGUAUAUAUACAAUGUAUGGUCUUGGAAUUCCAAAACUUUCUCAUUAUUACUGAAGUAGAGGAAGAAAUGAUUAUAUAAAGUUGUCCUUUACCAUGAGCAGUAAAAAAUAAGAUUUGGACAAGGGUAAGGAUAUGUAUAGUAAUGCUUUGCUUUAAAAAAUGUAUUAGAGAUAUUUAAAGCCCAGUCAUUUUAGGUACUAGAAAUUCAUCUGAAUUUAUAAGAAGCAUAUUACUAAUGAUCUUUAUAGCCUUUGCACACUGCCCAUACCCAUUGUAAAAAAUAACUAUGAAAAUAUAAGACAUCUGAAGAUUGAAGAAAUAAUUUGGUAACAGAAUAUAUUCUGAUUCGUACUACAGUGUGGAU